ensembl:snoRNA
AAAGAAAACAAUAAAUUACCAAUACAAUUUGAGCUUGCAAUAACAAAAAAGUCUAACCUAUUCCAGUGCUCUCUCUUUGUGGGACAAGCCAUUAUAUAGACUUUAACAGU